AAUAGAUACCCCGGUAGUCCACGCCGUAAACGAUGAGUGCUAAGUGUUAGGGGGUUUCCGCUCCUUAGUGCUGCAGCUAACGCAUUAAGCACUCCGCCUGGGGAGUACGGCCGCAAGGCUGAAACUCAAAGGAAUUGACGGGGGCCCGCACAAGCGGUGGAGCAUGUGGUUUAAUUCGAAGCAACGCGAAGAACCUUACCAGGUCUUGACAUCUCCUGACCGCCCUGGAGACAGGGUCUUCCCUUCGGGGACAGGAUGACAGGUGGUGCAUGGUUGUCGUCAGCUCGUGUCGUGAGAUGUUGGGUUAAGUCCCGCAACGAGCGCAACCCUUGUCCUUAGUUGCCAGCAUUCAGUUGGGCACUCUAAGGAGACUGCCGGCUAAAAGUCGGAGAAAGGUGGGGAUGACGUCAAAUCAUCAUGCCCCUUAUGACCUGGGCUACACACGUGCUACAAGUGGGCGGUACAGAGGGUCGCGAACCCGCGAGGGGGAGCCAACCUAACCCGAAAACCGCUCUACGUACGGUUGGUACUUGCGAGGCUCGACUAACGUCGUCCG
rnacentral:rRNA from 1 species